AAUAAACGCUAAAAUGACAUAUAGGACAUAGGUAUCAACCCAUAGAUAGAACAAUAAUAAACUAAUUAUAUAAGGAAGCAUAGUCUAAGGAAAAGUAAGCCUAGCCUACCUGGACACUAUCGAAAGCAUGUAAAAUUCUCUAUUUUAGAGUUUUCCCUUCCGAGAAGCUUUCGAGUGUUGUCAUGCUUUCAAAAUAAGGUUCUACAC
rnacentral:lncRNA from 1 species